GUGAAACCCUUGGGAAGCUAUUGGAGGUGUCGGAGUGAAGAGGAGGGGGGCUGAUUUGGUUCAUAUUGCAGAGAAAGGAAGACUGUGAACUCUGUUUGAAGAGGGUAUGUCUUUAUCAGCAUCAUGGAAACAAACUAAUACAUCUGGAAAAGGGCAGACCUCCAAGCAGCAGAUGAUGCAGGUUUAAGAAUUUCCGGUAAACCAGCACCAACCUGAAGAUCAUGUUCUCAUCAAAGGGUGGAAAGAAGAAAAACUGGAACCAGACUGGGAAGGACCCUACCUUGUGCUACUAACCACCAAUACUGCUGUUCGUACAGCAUAAAAGGAUGGACUCAUCACACCCGAGUCAAGAAAGUGCCGCCCCCUCCAGAGUCGUGGGCCAUAGUCCCAGGGGAAAACUCUACCAAACUAAAGCUAAGAAAAAUUUAACUCUUUUUAUCUAUUCUAUUGUUCUUUCUUCUUUCCUUGUUCUAUUGCUAACCAUCUAGUUAUUAACAUAACCAAGUCAAUUUUGCCUCAAACUAUUGCAUUUAAUGCUUGCCUUGUUAUACCCUGUGCAGACUUGCCAAUUCAAAGACAGCUUUCUACUUCAGAAAAGUACUUCUGUCCCUCCUGACUCUCCUCAGGCUGGGCAUUAGUAAACUAGGACCAUUUAAUCCGGGGAGAUUUCGAUAAAGAUCCCAGUGCCAACCAGGAGUCUUGUCCCCAAAUGUAGAGAGCAAGCUUUGGUAUCUAGUUAGUCUAGCAUUCAUUAGCUAAUGAUGUCCUUUGGUAUUUAUUAAAGUCACCACAGCAUAGGGUGACUAUGUUUAUGCCAUAGUUGGUCCAACAUUCUGUGGACCACUAAAGAGCAAGGAUGGACUGCUCCAACUGGUUUUUGUAAUUUCCUAAAAUCAUACAUUCAUUUUACUAGAGGACCAUUGAAGUAAAAGACUUAAAACAAACUUCAGCAAUUAAGACAGGAUACCAAGAUGCAAAUGUCUGGUUAAAAUGGAUCAAAUAUUCCAUCUGCACAUUAAACAAAAGCAAUUGUUAUGCUUGUGCACAUGGCAGGCCAGAGGCCCAGAUUGUCCCCUUUCCACUAAGGUGGUCCUUCAGUCGACCAGGCGUAGGCUGCAUGGUAGCUCUUUUCCAGGAUUCUACUGCCUGGAGUAAUAAGUCAUGCCAAGCUCUCUCUGCUAUAUCCAGAAGUCCAGCACCCUGCAGGUUAGCCCCCAAGGGCCAUCCAGCUUCUGUCUCCCAACACUAAGUUUACUUCGUGUCUCUCAUGACAGGGAGGAAACAGCAUUCCUUGGAGACCUGAAGGGAUGUGAUGAGCUUAAGAAUUUUCAAGAGCUUAUCAAUCAGUCAGCCCUUGUUCAUCCCCGAGUGGAUGUGUGGUGGUAGUGUGGUGGACCUUUACUGGGCACUCUGCCGAAUAACUAGAGUGGCACUUGUACUUUAGUCCAUUUGGCUAUCCCUUUCACCCUGGCAUUUCAUCAACCAGAGGGAGAAAAAAAUAAGACAUCGUAAAGCAAGAGAAGCCCCUUAUGGGUCUUUCAACUCUCACAUCUAUUUAGAUGCAAUUGGAGCCCCGCAAGGAAUACCAGAUCAAUUUAAAGCUUGAAAUCAAAUAGCUACAGGAUUUAAGUCAAUAUUUUAGUGGGUGACAGUUAAUAAAAAUGUAGAUUAGAUAAACUACAUCCAUUACAACCAACAGCAACAAGCUUUUCAUGAGUUAAAAGAAAAACUCAUGUUGGCCCCAGGCCUGGGGCUACCUGACCUGACAAAACCCUUUACACCCUAUGUGUCAGAAAAAGAAAAAAUGGCAGUUGGAGUUUUAACCCAGACUGUGGUGUCCUGGCCAAGGCCAGUGGCCUAUCUCUCAAAACAACUAGACGGGGUUUCCAAAGACUGGCCCCUAUGUCUAAGGGCCUGGCAGCAACGGCCCUGUUAGCACAAGAAGCAGAUAAGCUAACUCUUGGGCAAAACCUAAACAUAAAGUCCCCCCAUGCUGUGGUGACUUUAAUAAAUACCAAAGGACAUCAUGAGCUAAUGAAUGCUAGACUAACUAGAUACCAAAGCUUGCUCUGUGAAAAUCCCCACAUAACCACUGAAGUUUACAACACCCUAAACCCCACCACCUUGCUCCCGGUAUCAGAGAGCCCAAUUGAACAUAACUUCGUAGAGGUAUUGGACUCCGUUUAUUCUAGUGGGCCCAACCUCCGAGACCAUCCUUAAACAUCAGUAGACUGGGAGCUGUAUGUGGAUGGAGCAGCUUCGCCGGCCCCUGCAAAGUGACUCUGAAGAAAACGACAAGCCCUGCUCCAGUCACACCCAGAAGCUGACUCAUCCACGCACGGCUGAAGCAUGAGAAAACUCAUCACAGGACUCAUUUUCCUUAAAAUUUGACUUGUACGAAAUCAAGUUUGCUAAGAGACCACCAGUGCUGAAUGCACUUUGUUCUGGCAAGAGCAGAAAACUGAGAAGCCGUGUUACCUACCACUACCUGGGAUACAUUCAGGGAACAGGAGUAUUCUGGAUAUGACUGGUAAAAACUGGAUAUUAAUUUCUACUACUACUCCCAAAAGUCUAGAAGAUGAAAUUGUGGGAAGACUUCUAAAAAUUUUGUUUGUUAUCUUUGUUGACUUAAUUUCUAUUAUAUAUGUUGUGAUAACUUCUUAGAAAGCUGACUUCCUUUCCAUGUACAUUUCAAACUGAAUUACAGUGAAUAAAAAUUUGUAUUU